AUUGAACGCUGUCGGCAGGCCUAACACAUGCAAGUCGAGCGAGCGGCGGACGGGUGCGUAAUGUAUGGGGACUGCCCGAAAGAGGGGGAUAACUACUGGAACCGGUAGCUAAUACCGCAUACUAUCGGAUCACCCAUAUGGGAUUAGCUAUUAGGUGAGGUAAUGGCUCACCUAGGCGACGAUCCCUAGCUGGUCUGAGAGGAUGAUCAGCCAAACUGGGACUGAGACAGAGCCCAGACACCUACGGAGGCAGCAGUGGGGAAUAUUGCACAAAGGGCGCAAGCCUGAUGCAGCCAUGCCGCGUGUAUGAAGGAGGCCCUAGGGUUGUAAAGUACUUUCAGUCGGGAGGCGUUAACGACAGAAGAAGCACCGGAUAACUCCGUGCCAGCAGCCGAGGUAAUUG
rnacentral:rRNA from 1 species